rnacentral:rRNA from 1 species
UUAGGAAUUUUGCGCAAUGGACGAAAGUCUGACGCAGCGACAUCGCGUGAGGGAUUAAGGCCUUCGGGUUGUAAACCUCUUUUUGGGAGCCAUGAAGGCACCCAGAAUAAGUAACUACUAACUACGUGCCAGCAGUCGCGGUAAUACGUAGGUUACAAGCGUUACCCGGUUUUAUUGGGCGUAAAGAGUCUGUAGGUGGUUUUCUAAGUCUUGUUUCAAAGACCUCGACUUAAUCGAGGAAAGGGGCAGGAGACUGGAAGGCUGGAGUUAUGUCGGGGUUAUUGGAAUUUGUGGUGUAGGGGUUAAAUCCGUGGAUAUCACAAAGAACACCAAGCGCGAAGGCGGGUAACCAGGCAUAUACUGACACUGAGAGACGAAAGCUAGGGUAGCAAAUCAGAU